UCCUGGUUUGCUUACUUUUCAUUUUAGUUGUCAUAUCAACAUAUUGUGUGUAUAGCUUUGUGUUUCUUUAUUCUAUAUUGACCAAAAAUAUAGGGUAUGAUUUGUGAUCUCACAAAACAUGUUUAACACUGCGGCAUUUGUGCGCCUGUUCUGGCCUUUAUUAGUCUUGUAUGUAUUUUUAUUUUAGUUCAUUUAUAUGUUUUGGAGUUAAGUAUGACAUCCAUUUUUACUGAAGUAGUGCACAUUUUUUAUUAGGGUUCCAGCUAAGGCCUACCUAAGGGAUUAUCUCGUUGUCGUUGGUGGCCUUUGGCUGCUAUCUGCAGUUAGAUCAGAUUGUUGUCUCUCUGAUAUAUUCCCCAUUUCCAGUCCAAAUUUUAUAAUCAUGACGAUACAGAAUGCAAAUAAAAAGUGUCUCAAAAUAAGCUACAGAAAGAGAACAAAAGAAAAUGUUGCAGCUAUUAUUUUUC
rnacentral:lncRNA from 1 species